GAAUCAGAUCUAAAGCUCUAAGUUGAAACCAUUGUUUCAUACCUGAGCUAUUUGAUCUAGAUUAGCACUCGGGGACCCUCCCUUAUGGUGCCGUUGAUAUUCCGUGAUCUUUAGCAUUAUCUGGUUAUUAUACAAGGAACUCAAAGCAAUCUCAGGAGCUAUUCCAUAGGAUGAUGAUCAUGAUUCUAGGGCGGACCUGUGCCUUAGAGCCUAAAAAUGAAGUUUGAACUAGCAUAAUUAUGUUUUGAUUUCCGUACUCUCUUUCUAAGACAAUGUAACACCUUUGUUUAUAAAUAAAAUACAACUUGUAUGC
rnacentral:lncRNA from 1 species